rnacentral:lncRNA from 1 species
GACAGAAUUAUCUUCUGUUUGCAUCAUUUUUCUUUUAAGCAUGUCUCUUCUUUUUCUUUUCAGGCUAUCGGGUUCAUCCAGCACAUAAAACUCAUCACCGAAAAUGAAUAGAAGCGGUUGGAGAAGAGACUGGAGAUGUGAACUGUCCCUCUGGAACGAGCUGCCAUUAAGUUUACUAAAAAUGUCUGAUGGUUUCGCCCAGACAGUUAGGAAAGCUGUGUCUGAACGGGAUCCAAAUCUCUGAUGCCAUGAACCCCUCCUAAAUAGGAUAAUCCUGAUGAAAUGGGUCCGCAGACCCAGUUUGAAAUGUGUCAACAACAACAAAAUAUGAUCAAUAUGGUAAGUUCAUAAUUUUAA